rnacentral:rRNA from 1 species
GUAGGUGGCAAGCGUUGUCCGGAAUUAUUGGGCGUAAAGCGCGCGCAGGCGGGUUCUUUAAGUCUGAUGUGAAAGCCCACGGGCUCAACCGUGGAGGGUCAUUGGAAACUGGAGAACUUGAGUACAGAAGAGGAAAGCGGAAUUCCACGUGUAGCGGUGAAAUGCGUAGAGAUGUGGGGGAACACCAGUGGCGAAGGCGGCUUUCUGGUCCGUAACUGACGCUGAGGCGCGAAAGCGUGGGGAGCAAACAGGAUUAGAUACCCUGGUAGUCCACGCCGUAAACGAUGAGUGCUAAGUGUUAGGGGGUUUCCGCCCCUUAGUGCUGCAGCUAACGCAUUAAGCACUCCGCCUGGGGAGUACGGCCGCAAAGGCUG